UGCCACCUUACUGAUUGAUGCCUGAUGG
rnacentral:piRNA from 1 species